rnacentral:snoRNA from 1 species
AAGAGCAAUUUUAUUAUAUGCAGAUUAUAUAUUGUACAUUUAAAGUACAUAUAUCUACAUAUAUAAAUCUAUAUAUAUAAAAAAAAAUAAUAAUAAUAUUAAAUAAUAAAUAAUAAAAUUGCUUAAAUAAAAGACUUAAAGUUAGCACGAUUAUCAGGGCAUAAGUUGUUAUAAAUUGUGAGCAAUUUAUGCAGUACAAGUUUGUGUACAAUUA